GACGAACGCUGGCGGCGUGCUUAACACAUGCAAGUCGAACGGAAAGGCCCUGCUUUUUUGGUGUGCUCGAGUGGCGAACGGGUGAGUAACACGUGAGUAACCUGCCCUUGACUUUGGUAUAACUUCAGGAAACUGGGGCUAAUACCGGAUAGGAGCUCCUGCUGCAUGGUGGGGGUUGGAAAGUUUCGGCGGUUGGGGAUGGACUCGCGGCUUAUCAGCUUGUUGGUGGGGUAGUGGCUUACCAAGGCUUUGACGGGUAGCCGGCCUGAGAGGGUGACCGGCCACAUUGGGACUGAGAUACGGCCCAGACUCCUACGGGAGGCAGCAGUGGGGAAUAUUGCACAAUGGGCGGAAGCCUGAUGCAGCAACGCCGCGUGCGGGAUGACGGCCUUCGGGUUGUAAACCGCUUUCGCCUGUGAAGAAGCGAGAGUGACGGUAAUGGGUAAAGAAGCACCGGCUAACUACGUG
rnacentral:rRNA from 1 species